GCCUGGGGAGUACGGUCGCAAGACUGAAACUCAAAGGAAUUGACGGGGGCCCGCACAAGCGGUGGAGCAUGUGGUUUAAUUCGAAGCAACGCGAAGAACCUUACCAGGUCUUGACAUCCUCUGACAACCCUAGAGAUAGGGCUUUCCCUUCGGGGACAGAGUGACAGGUGGUGCAUGGUUGUCGUCAGCUCGUGUCGUGAGAUGUUGGGUUAAGUCCCGCAACGAGCGCAACCCUUGAUCUUAGUUGCCAGCAUUCAGUUGGGCACUCUAAGGUGACUGCCGGUGACAAACCGGAGGAAGGUGGGGAUGACGUCAAAUCAUCAUGCCCCUUAUGACCUGGGCUACACACGUGCUACAAUGGACAGAACAAAGGGCUGCAAGACCGCAAGGUUUAGCCAAUCCCAUAAAUCUGUUCUCAGUUCGGAUCGCAGUCUGCAACUCGACUGCGUGAAGCUGGAAUCGCUAGUAAUCUCGGAUCAGCAUGGC
rnacentral:rRNA from 1 species